rnacentral:rRNA from 1 species
CUUGGUCAUUUAGAGGAAGUAAAAGUCGUAACAAGGUCUCCGUAGGUGGACCUGCGGAGGGAUCAUUAACGAAUGGCCCUAGGCCUUCAACCUUGUAAACCUGUGGAAGCAAAACGUGCUUUGGCGCUUUCGGGCGCCAACUUUAUGCUUAGAUCAGUCUUGAUGUCUGAAUCAAAAACAAGAAAUAAAACUUUCAACAAAGGAUCUCUUGGCACUCGCAUCGAUGAAGAACGCAGCGAAGCGCGAAAUGUAGUGUGAAUCGCAGAACAUUGUGAAUCAUCGAAUCUUUGAACGCACAUUGCGCCUCCAGUAACUUGGAGGCAUGCCUGUCUGAGCGUCAUUUAAAACCAUAGACCCUUCUGGGUUUGUAUUGGGCCUCGCCUCCGGGCGUAGCCUCAAAGUCAUCGGUCUUAUACGCGGACGAGCUCCAUUCGGACGGAACGUGUGCAGACCUUAAUUCAUCUGACUUGACCUCAGAUCAGGUAGGACUACCGCCUGAACUUAAGCAUAUCAAUAAGCGGAGGA